AAAAUGCCUUUAAACCCGACGCUGAAAGCAUUCCGAGUACACCGCGUGAGCAUCCGCGACCAACUUCUCUUGAACAAACAGUAGUAAAAAAAAAAAGAUGUUUACAGUUUUGCUCUGACGGCGUGGCCCUAGUCCAGCCGGGUGGGGCGGAGGUUAGUGAACCUUAAGAGUGGCCAGCUUCAGGGGGUUUGGAGCGAGCGAGCGAGUCUCAUCUGGGAAGCAGUCCUUGAAACAAAACACCGCCCUCGCAGCUCCUCCUGUGUACUUCCAGCGCAAGUACAACAACACAAACCUGGCAGGCUUUGCAGCAGUGAGUCAGCCGCGCAUUUAUCUGGAGUCAUAAACUUUUGGGACCUGGACCUGUCACUUUGGAUCCCGUUAGAUCCCGAUUGAUUUAGGGUUGGCCGCGUCCAUACGAGCUUUCCAGUAAGGACUGGAGCUAUAUGAGAGACAAACAGCUGCAUUGUGCUUUCUUCUUGGAAUCCACAGAGAAAGACAAUGAAAACCAAACGUGGGGGGGGGUUCAAAGCAUCGUCGUGACAUCAUCCGCUCUUGUGAGAGUUCAAAUCCGUGAGCAUCCAAAAGUCCAGCUGGAUUCCAUCAGCUCCAAAAAAAAAUAAAAAUCUUCACCCUACAAACAUUCACUACGAAGGAUAAAUAGCUGCAGUGGAUGAGCGCCGGCCAGAGUUUUAUUGCAACUUCAGCUUGUGAACUUUGACAGUCUGGACCAUGGCCAGAAGGUUCUAGAAAAGUGCACGGCAGGCUGGCGUGUUUCAACCUACUCUAGGCAUGUAUGCGAUAUGCCAUCCUGUGGGAAAAUGCUUCAUGCAUAUCCAAGUAUUUCUAUCA